GACGAACGCUGGCGGCGUGCUUAACACAUGCAAGUCGAACGAAGAGCGACGGAAGCUUGCUUCUAUCAAUCUUAGUGGCGUACGGGUGAGUAACGCGUAAUCAACCUGCCCUUCAGAGGGGGACAACAGUUGGAAACGACUGCUAAUACCGCAUACGAUCUAAUCUCGGCAUCGAGGAUGGAUGAAAGGUGGCCUCUACAUGUAAGCUAUCACUGAAGGAGGGGGUUGAGUGUGAUUAGCUAGUUGGGGGGGGAAAGGCCCACCAAGGCGAUGAUCAGUAGCCGGUCUGAGAGGAUGAACGGCCACAUUGGGAAUGAGACACGGCCCAGACUCCUACGGGAGGCAGCAGUGGGGAAUCUUCCGCAAUGGACGAAAGUCUGACGGAGCAACGCCGCGGGAGUGAUGACGGCCUUCGGGUUGUAAAGCUCUGUUAAUCGGGACGAAAGGCCUUCUUGCGAAUAGUGAGAAGGAUUGACGGUACCGGAAUAGAAAGCCACGGCUAACUACGUG
rnacentral:rRNA from 1 species